CUUUGAGUGAGGAAAGUCCGAGCACUAUAGGGCAGGACGCCGGGUAACGCCCGGUGGAGGCGACUUCAAGGAAAGUGCAACAGAGAUAUACCGCAACCCUGGCUACGCCAGGAUGCAAGGGUGGAAAGGCGAGGUAAGAGCUCACCGGAACCUCUGGCGACAGAGGCUCCCUGUAAACCCCGUCCGGUGCAAGAUUGAUAGGGGAGCAUAUAAUAGCGGCCCGCUAAGCUUCAUGUAAUCGCUAGAGCCUGCUGGCGACAGCAGGCCAAGACAGAUGGUCAUCCCAGACAGAACUCGGCUUAUUGUCCGACUCA
rnacentral:RNase_P_RNA from 1 species